rnacentral:rRNA from 1 species
AUUGAACGCUGGCGGCAGGCCUAACACAUGCAAGUCGAGCGAGCGGCGGACGGGUGAGUAAGGUCUGGGAUACUGCCUGAUGGAGGGGGAUAACUACUGGAAACGGUAGCUAAUACCGCAUACUAUCAGAUGUGCCCAGAUGGGAUUAGCUUGUGGGUGGGGUAACGGCUCACCUAGGCGACGAUCCCUAGCUGGACGGAUAGGAUGACAAGCCACACUGGAACUGAGACACGGUCCAGACUACAACGGUAGGCGGGGGAGGGGAAAAGUACACAAGGGGAGCAGGCCUGAUGCGACCAUGCCACGUAGGGGAAAGGGGCCUUCGGGUUGUGAGGCACUUUCAGCGGGAAGGCGUUACCCGCAGAAGAAGCACCGGCUAACUCCGUGCCAGCAGCCGCGGUAAUAC